rnacentral:rRNA from 1 species
UACGUAGGGUGCGAGCGUUAAUCGGCCUUACUGGGCGUAAAGCGUACGCAGGCGGCUGCGCAAGACAGGUGUGAAAUCCCCGGGCUUAACCUGGGAACUGCAUUUGUGACUGCGCGGCUAGAGUCCGUAAGAGGGGGGUGGAAUUCCACGUGUAGCAGUGAAAUGCGUAGAGAUGUGGAGGAACACCGAUGGCGAAGGCAGCCCCCUGGGAUGAGACUGACGCUCAUGUACGAAAGCGUGGGGAGCAAACAGG